CCUACGGGCGGCAGCAGUGAGGAAUAUUGGUCAAUGGGCGGAAGCCUGAACCAGCCAAGUAGCGUGCAGGAUGACGGCCCUACGGGUUGUAAACUGCUUUUAUACGGGAAUAACGCGCCUUACGUGUAGGGCUUGUCAUGUACCGCAUGAAUAAGGACCGGCUAAUUCUGUGCCAUCAGCCGCGGUAAUACGGAAGGGCCGGGCGUUAUCCGGAUUUAUUGGGUUUAAGGGGAGCGUAGGCCGGAUGUCAAGCGUGCUGUGAAAUGUCCGGGCUCAACCCGGGCCUUGCAGCGCGAACUGGCGUGCUUGAGUGCGCAGAAAGCAGGCGGAAUUCGUCGUGUAGCGGUGAAAUGCUUAGAUAUGACGAAGAACCCCGAUUGCGAAGGCAGCUUGCUGCAGCGGAACUGACGCUGAUGCUCGAAAGCGCGGGUAUCGAACAGGAUUAGAUACCCUGGUAGUC
rnacentral:rRNA from 1 species